AAAUUGACUUCACCACAAAUCUUUGUAGCAUAUCUUCAAAUCACAAUUCUCUGGAGAAAAGAUGGUUCUAAUAAUUUUAAUUUUCUUGUGCACUUUUCAAAAGAGGAUGAAAAUAUUUACAUGCUCUUUUUCUUGAUUCAAAACUCAAAUUUAUCUUAGGAAAUAUUGUCCCAAAAAAAUCAGUGAUAAUUAAUUUACUUUCAUUGAAAAUAUUGUCCCAUAACAUUAUGAAUGGGGCAUCUAUAACAAGCGGUAAGAUUGCUGCCGGUAACAAUUCAGUCGGCCGGCCGGCAGGAUAUCUCCUUUAUUAACUACUGAAACUAACGCAAUAAGCAAGCAGUAUCGCUUGAAGAGAUCCCCCCAAAUGCGGUUCGACGAAAGCGCGAUUCAAAAUGGAAUGGAUGUUUCAGUCUUGGAGUAGAUUUGGAUCUUGCCUGUACUGGAUUUUCCCUUAGUAAAGGCAUCGAUAUUCGACCCAUAAUGGGAAUGGAGAGUAUAUCUGUAAGAAGAGUAUGGGACAAAAAUUGACGCAUUGAGCUACAUUAUUCAUAGAUUUUGGAAGAUUGAAGUUAUAAUUCAAGAUGAAAGUUUAGAACAUGCACAAGCUCGCUAUUAUUUUUCUAAGAACGUUAUGUAAAACUUGAUAGUCUUGCUAAAGAUGCUAAUUGAUUAAAGAUUUUUUGUUGAGCAAAUAUUGAAAAGAUCUAUUACAUAUUGCAUUGAACUUUGUAUUUGAAGAUAUUUUAUAUUUAGUGAUGUAAUUUAUUAAUUUUAUGAUA